AUGCAACAAGAUUCCUUCAGGCAAGUUAAUGAUGCGUUGGGCAUCCUCAUCACUCCUGUUUUGUCCAGGAAUCCAUGAUUUCCACAAAAGAACAUGUCCCACCAUGCAGACCUGCACACCAACCAUGGGCAAAGCACCUUGGCACAGUCAUACCCUGCUCAGAAAGACCCUACAAGACUGAACAUACAAGUCAUUGGCAGCUCAUCCACUAGUGGUUCUUCAAGACCAUUUUGAAAUAAAUGACAAAUUUCAUCACAAAAUCCCACUUGGAUUAAGUUCCAAAAGUUUUGGGGUGAAAGUUAAGUUUAUUUUGCAAUGCAGGAAAUUACUGAGUAGGUUUGGGAAUGCAUUUUUUUUUGUUUUUUGUAUAAUUUCCAAAAUGUUUUCUUCAAUAUUUAGGAAAAGGGUCAGCGCACAAAAGGGACAAGAAAAUUGGCAAACAAUAUCCCAAACUUCUGGGUCUGGGAGCAGAGAGGAGUUUUGAAAACACGGAUGUCCUGACGCCAUACCAAUGUGACUUAGAUGAUGGCUUUUCCAGAUACGUGUGGGAAUGAUACCUUGGGGACUCAAAUUGGAAUAGGGCCCUGUGCUCAAGGUGGACAAAACAAUCCUGAUUUACAUCCAACAGAAAGAAGAAUGGGCGAUUCUUCCCCAGCCUGGUGUAAACACAUCCCCAGCUAGGUGUGGCAGAAGUAGCAUAUUGGACAGAUGGAAGGGAAAUAUUUUCUAGCAACACAAAAUGCAAACUAGCACUGCCAGAAUCCCCUAAAUUCAAGAAAAUAAGCUUUUUGUGGUAUCUUUUAUGUUCAUGGAUUGUAUGUAUUUCUACGAUGAUUACACUAUGUAUGUGUGUAUACUCAUAAACAUCUUUCCCUGAGAAACCACAGAAUUUUCUAUCUCAUCUACAUCUUUCUCUGGUUAACUAAUAACAAAGCAUAGUAUUAAAAUUACUUGAUUAAAACAAAAAAAAAAAGCACAAGUCAUAGUUAACAGUUUUAACCCUGGAGGCCCUUCAGAGAAAUGUGUAGUAUAAGUAGAAAUGAUGAUAGAUGAUAGUUAUUAUUAUCGCUUUUGUUAUUUAUGCUGAAUAGGGGACAUUUGAUUUUUUUUUCUAUGCCAUCAGUACUAUUGUUAAGCUCUUUAAGGCUCCACCUUCUUAAUCAUUCUGGGGAUAAAAAUAAAGUUCUCUAACUGGAAAUUCUUGUUACCUGACAUAUUUGUCAGGUGGUUUCUUACUCAUUGCCUGUACCUCUAAUAGACGGUGAAAAGUACACAUAGAGAGUAGAACAGAGGAGAGCAGAACAGAGUUGAAUCCACCCCCUUUCACUUCUUGUCUCCCACAGGCUUCCCUUCAGUUUUUUUGUUUUGUUUUGUUUUGGUUUGGUUUGGUUUUUUUGGUAAUGGAAAUCAUCUGGUAUGAAAUCUUUCCAUUACCCUUUUCUACUGUCACUCUUUUAGUGUAUUCAUCUCCUAUUUUGCCUUACUUCACUCAAGUUUUAGAGAAUGAGGUGGCCCUCCUCUUUACUAAAGCUACCCUUACA